rnacentral:rRNA from 1 species
GAUGAACGCUGGCGGCGUGCCUAAUACAUGCAAGUCGAGCGAACAGAUAAGGAGCUUGCUCCUUUGAAGUUAGCGGCGGACGGGUGAGUAACACGUGGGUAACCUACCUAUAAGACUGGGAUAACUUCGGGAAACCGGAGCUAAUACCGGAUAACAUUUAGAACCGCAUGGUUCUAAAGUGAAAGAUGGUUUUGCUAUCACUUAUAGAUGGACCCGCGCCGUAUUAGCUAGUUGGUAAGGUAACGGCUUACCAAGGCGACGAUACGUAGCCGACCUGAGAGGGUGAUCGGCCACACUGGAACUGAGACACGGUCCAGACUCCUACGGGAGGCAGCAGUAGGGAAUCUUCCGCAAUGGGCGAAAGCCUGACGGAGCAACGCCGCGUGAGUGAUGAAGGGUUUCGGCUCGUAAAACUCUGUUAUUAGGGGAGAACAAAUGUGUAAGUAACUGUGCACAUCUUGACGGUACCUAAUCAGAAAGCCACGGCUAACUACGUG